GAGCGGCGAACGGCUGAGUAAACACGUUGGUAACUGCCCCAAACUCAGGGAUAACAUCUAGAAAUAGAUGCUAAUACCGGAUAGUCCCGAAAGGGUAAAGAUUUUUCGGUUUGGGAGGUGCCUGCGACCUAUCAGUUUGUUGGUGAGGUAAUGGCUCACCAAGACUAUGACGGGUAGCUGGUCUGAGAGGAUGAUCAGCCGGAAUGGGACUGAGACACGGCCCAUACUCCUACGGGAGGCAGCAGUAAAGAAUCUUCCGCAAUGGGCGAAAGCCUGACGGAGCAACACCGCGUGAACGAUGAAGGUCGAAAGAUUGUAAAGUUCUUUUCUGGGAAGAAUUCUGACGGUACCUUAGGAAUAAGCACCGGCUAACUCCGUGCCAGCAGCCGCGGUAAUACGGAGGGUGCAAGCGUUACCCGGAAUCAUUGGGCGUAAAGCGUCCGCAGGCGGUUUAUUAAGUCAGAUAUUAAAUCUUGGGGCCCAACUCCAAGGCUGUAUCUGAAACUGGUAAACUAAAGUCUUUCAGGGGCAUAUGGAAUCCUGUGUGUAGGGGUAAAAUCCGUAGAUACACAGAGGACACCAAAAGCGAAGGCAAUAUGCUGGGGAAGUACUGACGCUCAUGGACCAAAGCGUGGGUAGCGAACGGGAUCAGAUACCCCGGUAGUCCACGCCGUAAACGUUGGAUACAAGUUGUUGGAGGGCUCGACCUUUCAGUGACGACGCUAACGCAUUAAGUAUCCCGCCUGGGGAGUACGGUCGCAAGAUUAAAACUCAAAGGAAUAGACGGGGACCCACACAAGCGGUGGAGCACCUGGCUUAAUUCGAUAAUGAGCGAGGAACCUCACCUGGACUUGACAUCGGGAGAAUUUCCUGGAAACAGGAAAGUGCCUUAUGGAACUCAGUGACAGGUGCUGCAUGGUUGUCGUCAGCUCGUGCCUUGAGGUGUUCGGUUAAGUCCGUAAACGAGCGCAACCCAUGUCCUGUGUUGCAUUUCACAGGAGACUGCCGAUUCAAGUCGGAGGAAGGUAUGGAUGACGUCAAAUCAGCAUGGCCCUUAUGUCCAGGGCUGCACAGGUGCUACAAUGGCUGGUACAAUGGGUAACAAUACUGCAAAGUGGAGCCAAUCCAAAACCAGUCUAAGUUCGAAUUGAGGGCUGCAACUCGCCCUCAUGAAGUUGGAAUCGCUAGUAAACGCGGAUCAGAAUGGCGCGUUGAAUACGUUCCUGGGUCUUGUAC
rnacentral:rRNA from 1 species